rnacentral:misc_RNA from 1 species
GCGAGAUCUUAAAUUCGAAUUUCAAUUAGAGAUGAUUAGUGCUCUUUAUUAGCAAAAUCAUUCCAUUUCUUUCUAAUUUUGUAGGGAGUUUAGCAACAAUUAAAAAAAAAAAAGCACCUUUUUAUAUUUGAAGAGAAAGACAAAGCCAUGAAGGGAAGCGUUUGCAGAGGGUAGGUAAAGGAGUCCAUAUUUCUUUAGUCAAAAAAGGAAAUUAUAAAUAUUUAAUAAAAACAAAAAUAGCGAAUUACAGAUUCUGUCUUUUUCUUUUCAGCUUUCUAAUCCUGUCUUCUAAAUUCCCUUUCCAAAUCUACAUUUGAUUUUCUUUCCCAUUCAAACACAACACUCACUUUUUCCCUCAAGAAAUCAAUUCCUCCUCCUUCAGAUUUCAAAUCCUCGGAAUCUCGUCUCCGACAGAACCAAAGAAAUGAAAAAAAACGGAGUUUCGUAUCUCACUCUGCCAAAUCUGUUAUGCUUCUGUAAUAAUAAUAAUAA